AAAUCCAUAGGGUUAAUUUCUACGAAAGUACCUUGCAAUAAAUACCAUGAAAAAUUGGUAAUUUUUCCAGUAACUCUAGUCACAAUGAACGCCCUGUCAUUCCUUUUAGUCUUUGCUUUAAUCCUGUAUUGUGGACAAUUGUGUCGUCAAAAGCAGAAUAACCUGAGAGGAUAAAAUAAAAAAUUCUUUGUAGUCAAUAAUAAAUUUAUUUAUGUAAAUAUAUAAAAUGUGAUUUUAAAA